ensembl:lncRNA
UGGACUUCUCUGUGUAUCUGUUCUAGCAGCAAGCCACAUGGUCACGAAGGGGUGUGUGUAUGCUUUAUGUGGGACUGUCAAGGAACCUGUCCACCACAGUCAUGCUUCCUCCUUCAGAAGCAAUCCUGAAUACAUCUGAGAAUCCUUCCUUCCCACCAGGUUGAGGGCAUGUUGGCCUACAAGUGUCAAGUGGGUUCUGCCCCCACUCUGGUCCAGACAUGGUCUCAUUCACAAAGGGUGAGUGUGAGAGGUAGCCACACAAGCUUUGACUUCUUGGUUGUAUUUGCCUCUUUCCCUUUAGGAGGUGGGGCUCUGGGAACAGUCUGGGAUAUCCUUCAUCACAGACAACAGAAGUGCCAUGAUGGUUUCCUCCUGAGAUAGACUCACCCAACCUGCAAGCCUUUGUUGCUCAGAGAAGGCAGCCAAGAAGAAUUGUCCCCAUCUCCACCCCACACCUAUGCUUUCUUCAUUUCACAUUCUCUCACCAUUCUGAUUCAAAGAAUUGUGCUAGAUGACUUUCAGAUUCCUCCAUGCCUCCUCCUCUUCAUCUUCUUCCUUCUUCCCAAUGUGCUGAGGGUGGAACCCAGGACUUCGUGCAUGUUAACAAUGAGCUGCAUAAAAGCCUAUAGGUGUGUUAACACAGAGAUAACCUGCACUCUGUUUGCAGCCAAAGGGAUCCAAAAUCUGAAAGAAAUUCUCUUUUUCAAUCACCCUUCUGCCUACAAGGCAGAUUUCUUCUCAAACUGGGCUACUUUGGAAUACUUGGUGUUUUUCUUUUUUAACCUGAUUUCUAAUGUCAGGUUAACAUUGAGCAUGCAGUGAUAUGGUUUUUUCCCCUGAAGCACAGAUCCAUCAUGUGUUCAGCAUCCCUUGCUUCCAUGCCUGGGUGAGGCAUCUCUCUUGAGUGCCUACAGAUGACUGCUCCCUAAGAUAUUUUCAAGCCUUGGCAGUUCUCCAAGGGAAGAACCACUUGUUAGGAGAGUGCACUGGCUUCCAAUUUCCCUUGACCUUUUCAGAGAAGUGAUUUGAAAUCUGGUGUUUAUUGUCUGCUUUCCCAUAGUGUGGAGCCAGAAAGAUCCUUGUGGCUUGCUGGCUAGCCAGCUUAAGCUAAUUAGUGAGACCUGUAUCCCAGUGAGAGAUCCUGCCUCAAAAACCAAGGUGGAUAGCUACUUAAGAGUGGUUCCCGAGUCUGAAUUCCGGCCUCCACCUGUAUGCACCUGCACACACAUGUAUAUGCUCACCUCCCCUAUUUAUAGAGAAGGUCACUUCAUACUGAUUAAGGGAAGAAGCCACUGAUAAGUCAGUACAAUUUAAAGCAUACAUAUGUUGACCCCGGGAGCACAAAGUAUGAAAGGCAGAGUCAUAUUUUUCUCCCAACACAGUAAUAGUGGAUGAGUUUAAUGCCAACUCACCAAUAGGCAAAUCAUCUUGACCAAACAAAUAGAGAAAAAUACUUGAAGAAAAAUAGAAGAUUCACUCUCCUGAAGCCAAUGAUGGUCUGUAUCCUCAAAAAACAGUAUGAGCCAAAAUGACCCCCUUCUUCUGUCUCUAAGUUUUUUGGUCAGGUCCUUUAUCAUAAGAAUGAACAAAGUAACCAAUGCACACAUGUUUCACUAAGUUGUAAAAUCUAAAGGAAAAGGAUGGAUUUCCGGGUAUAUAUGACUUACCAAAGUUAAGCCAAAACAAAUGAUUUAAACAGAUCUACAAUCGGCAAUAAGAUUGAAACAGUAAAAGAAUAGGCAGAUCCUAAGGAAUUUCCUGCCAAAUUCUACCCAAGUUGAAUCAAUACUUCUUAAAUUAUUCCUCAAAGUAGGAAAUGAAGAAAUGCUUUCAACCUCUUUUAAUAAGACCAGUCCCAAAGACCCCAUACCAAAACUGGACAAAAACACAUCAAAAAGAAAAUGAAAGGUUAAUCUUACUGAUGAAUACAGAUACAAAAAUUCUCAACAAAGUACUUCAAACUUAAUCCAAGAACAUAUUAGAAAGGUCACUAUUCCCUCUGCUCUAGUUGGCUUCAUUCCAGAGACUUUGGGUAUAGAUCAACAUAUACAAAUCAGUAAACAGAUUCAAAGAUAAAAAUCAUGUCAUUAUCUCAACAGAUGAAGAAAAGGCCACAGACCAAAAUCUAAGAUCCCUCAUGGUGAAAGCCUGAAAACUUCAGAAUCAAAAGGAACAUAUCUCAACAUAAUGGAGAUUAUAUAUACUGAGCCUAGAGCCAACAUCAUACUAGACGGAGAAAAACAGGAUAAAUGGAUCAUGGUGGUGCAUGUGUAUAAUGCCAGCUCUCAGGAAGGGAGGCAGACAGAUCAGGGGGUUGAGGCCAGACUGAGACACAGUAGAACCUGUCUAAAACAAUAACAGCAACAACAUAUCCCAAGCAGGUUGUUCUUCAGUUACUGCCAGUUGCUGUCUUUGAACUGUACUAAAUAAACCUGUUUGUUUUUAGUGGAACACAUGGAUAGGUCAUGUGUGGGUUGAGAAUAGUUUUAGAAAACCUGUCUUUGGGGAUGACAGAUGA